UACGUAGGGACCAAGCGUUGUUCGGAUUUACUGGGCGUAAAGGGCGCGUAGGCGGAUCUGCAAGUCGGGGGUGAAGUCCCGAGGCUCAACCUCGGAACUGCCUUCGAUACUGCGGGUCUCGAGUCCGGGAGAGGUGAGUGGAAUUCCUAGUGUAGAGGUGAAAUUCGUAGAUAUUAGGAAGAACACCAGUGGCGAAGGCGGCUCACUGGCCCGGUACUGACGCUGAGGCGCGAAAGCGUGGGGAGCAAACAGG
rnacentral:rRNA from 1 species